rnacentral:rRNA from 1 species
UACGUAGGGUGCAAGCGUUAAUCGGAAUUACUGGGCGUAAAGCGUGCGCAGGCGGUUUGUUAAGUCCGAUGUGAAAGCCCUGGGCUCAACCUGGGAAUGGCAUUGGAUACUGGCAGGCUAGAGUGCGGUAGAGGGCAGUGGAAUUCCCGGUGUAGCAGUGAAAUGCGUAGAGAUCGGGAGGAACAUCUGUGGCGAAGGCGACUGCCUGGACCAGCACUGACACUGAGGCACGAAAGCGUGGGGAGCAAACAGG